rnacentral:rRNA from 1 species
CUGAAUCAGUGUGUGUGUUAGUGGAAGCGUCUGGAAAGGCGCGCGAUACAGGGUGACAGCCCCGUACACAAAAAUGCACAUACUGUGAGCUCGAUGAGUAGGGCGGGACACGUGGUAUCCUGUCUGAAUAUGGGGGGACCAUCCUCCAAGGCUAAAUACUCCUGACUGACCGAUAGUGAACCAGUACCGUGAGGGAAAGGCGAAAAGAACCCCGGCGAGGGGAGUGAAAAAGAACCUGAAACCGUGUACGUACAAGCAGUGGGAGCCUCUUUUAUGGGGUGACUGCGUACCUUUUGUAUAAUGGGUCAGCGACUUAUAUUCUGUAGCAAGGUUAACCGAAUAGGGGAGCCGAAGGGAAACCGAGUCUUAACCGGGCGUUAAGUUGCAGGGUAUAGACCCGAAACCCGGUGAUCUAGCCAUGGGCAGGUUGAAGGUUGGGUAACACUAACUGGAGGACCGAACCGACUAAUGUUGAAAAAUUAGCGGAUGACUUGUGGCUGGGGGUGAAAGGCCAAUCAAACCGGGAGAUAGCUGGUUCUCCCCGAAAGCUAUUUAGGUAGCGCCUCGUGAAUUCAUCUCCGGGGGUAGAGCACUGUUUCGGCAAGGGGGUCAUCCCGACUUACCAACCCGAUGCAAACUGCGAAUACCGGAGAAUGUUAUCACGGGAGACACACGGCGGGUGCUAACGUCCGUCGUGAAGAGGGAAACAACCCAGACCGCCAGCUAAGGUCCCAAAGUCAUGGUUAAGUGGGAAACGAUGUGGGAAGGCCCAGACAGCCAGGAUGUUGGCUUAGAAGCAGCCAUCAUUUAAAGAAAGCGUAAUAGCUCACUGGUCGAGUCGGCCUGCGCGGAAGAUGUAACGGGGCUAAACCAUGCACCGAAGCUGCGGCAGCGACACUGUGUGUUGUUGGGUAGGGGAGCGU